rnacentral:lncRNA from 1 species
UUUUUGUUUAGGUUGGUUCUUUUUACCUUUUCUUUUCCACCCCCUAGGCGGAGGAAAAAAUGGGCACCAGCUUUUCUUAAUGCGUGAAGAUUUGUUUUAUUUAACAUUUUCUACAAUGCUUCUCAAUCUCUACCCUUAACAUUGUUAGUUCAUGAAAUGAAGCCAGGCUGAUUAGAAUAGAACUUCUAAUAAACCUAAUGGAAGGCAAAUAACAGAAAACAAAGUACCAGACCUUCAUUCUAAUAAAUAAAG